CUCUUUCUCUGCCGAUCACCACUCCACCAUCUUCCUGGAAGUACCAGAGACUUUUUUGCUCUGUGGGCUCUGACUUCUUUUCUCUUCUCUCUCCAGGUUGCCCACAGAUCUGGGAAGCCUUACUGGAAAAUUAUCUUAAUGGCCAAGCCCUCUGAUAGCCUCCCAGACUGCUGGGAUAACAGGUGUGUAUCUCACCUAUUGAUUGCUUCGAGCUGCUGUGCCAAGUGACUGACACCUGCUGCCUAGGACUGAGAAUGGAUCAGCUGCCACGUGCACAGGGUGAGAUUGCCUUGAAGUGCAUUUCUCAGAACUGCUCUCUGCCAUCAAUACAUGGCUGGUGGAUUUUAUAC
rnacentral:lncRNA from 1 species